rnacentral:rRNA from 1 species
CAACGCCGCGUGAGCGAAGAAGGCCUUCGGGUUGUAAAGCUCUGUCAGGGGGAAAGAAGGCACCUGGGUUAAUAGCCCAAGGGCUGACGGUACCCCCAAAGGAAGCCACGGCUAACUACGUGCCAGCAGCCGCGGUAAUACGUAGGUGGCGAGCGUUGUCCGGAAUCAUUGGGCGUAAAGAGCGCGUAGGUGGCUUGUCAGGUCUGAUGUGAAAUCCUGGGGCUCAACUCCAGAACUGCAUCGGAAACCGGCUUGCUAGAGUCUGGGAGAGGAGAGUGGAAUUCCUGGUGUAGCGGUGAAAUGCGUAGAUAUCAGGAGGAACACCGGUAGCGAAGGCGGCUCUCUGGAACAGUACUGACGCUGAGGCGCGAAAGCUAGGGGAGCGAACAGGGUUAGAUACCCUGGUAGUCCUAGCCGUAAACGAUGGACACUAGGUGUCGGGGGUGUCGACUCCCUCGGUGCCGAAGCUAACGCAUUAAGUGUCCCGCCUGGGGAGUACGGCCGCAAGGCUA